GAUCCUGGCUUAGGAUGAACGCUAGCUACAGGCUUAACACAUGCAAGUCGAGGGGCAGCAUUGGGAUAGCUGCUAUUCAGAUGGCGACCGGCGCACGGGUGAGUAACGCGUAUCCAACCUUCCUGCCAGUAGGGAACAGCCCGGCGAAAGUCGGAUUAAUGCCCUAUGUUCUUCAAUGCGGACAUCUAAGUUGAAGGAAAGAUUCAUCGCUGGCAGAUGGGGAUGCGUCCGAUUAGCUUGCCGGCGGGGUAACGGCCCACCGGGGCGACGAUCGGUAGGGGUUCUGAGAGGAAGGUCCCCCACACUGGUACUGAGACACGGACCAGACUCCUACGGGAGGCAGCAGUGAGGAAUAUUGGUCAAUGGGCGUAAGCCUGAACCAGCCAAGUAGCGUGCAAGGAUGACGGCCCUACGGGUUGUAAACUGCUUUUAUGCGGGGAUAAAGUGCGGCACGUGUGCCGCUUUGCAGGUACCGCAUGAAUAAGGACCGGCUAAUUCCGUGCCAGCAGCCGC
rnacentral:rRNA from 1 species